UCUCCGUAGGUGAACCUGCGGAGGGAUCAUUACUGAGUGAGGGGCUCCGGCCCCAGACCUCCAACCCAUUGUUAUCCGACACUGUUGCCUCCGGGGCGACCCGGCCUUCGGGCGUCGGGGUCCCGGGUGGACCAUUCAAACACUGCAUCUUUGCGUCUGAGUACACGAUUGAAUCAAUCAAAACUUUCAACAACGGAUCUCUUGGUUCUGGAAUCGAUGAAGAACGCAGC
rnacentral:misc_RNA from 1 species